GAAAUUCCGCUUGCUGCUGUUAAUUCCAGUUACCAAAACAAGGGUGUUGCUCAUCUCAUGUACAAAGAACUGAAAGAAAGACUUCAAAAUGUGGGUAUUUAAACAAUACUUUAGUGAGCAGAUAAGGUGACAGAAGGUUUUUGGUUUAAACAGGUAAUAUGGGACAGCAUGAUUGAUUAUUCUUGACAUAGUACCAUUGUAGUAUUUUGGUUGAAUAUGCUUCCAGAAUUUGCAGAUUUCACUCUUAAAUUCCAUGUAUGGCAACUACGAUAAGCAUGCUUGCAAUUGUCAUUAAUGCCACAAAUUUUCAUUCAACUCA